GCUCAACCGUGGAGGGUCAUUGGAAACUGGGAAACUUGAGUGCAGAAGAGGAAAGUGGAAUUCCAUGUGUAGCGGUGGAAUGCGUAGAUAUAUGGAAGAACACCAGUGGCGAAGGCGGCUUUCUGGUCUGUAACUGACGCUGAGAUUCGAAAGCAUGGGUAGCAAACAGGAUUAGAUACCCUGGUAGUCCAUGCCGUAAACGAUGAGUGCUAAGUGUUGGAGGGUUUCCGCCCUUCAGUGCUGCAGCUAAUGCAUUAAGCACUCCGCCGGGGGAGUACGACCGCAAGGUUGAAACUCAAAGGAAUUGACGGGGGCCCGCACAAGCGGUGGAGCAUGUGGUUUAAUUCGAAGCAACGCGAAGAACCUUACCAGGUCUUGACAUACCAUGAAAAGCUUAGAGAUAAGUCUUUCCCUUCGGGGACAUGGAUACAGGUGGUGCAUGGUUGUCGUCAGCUCGUGUCGUGAGAUGUUGGGUUAAGUCCCGCAACGAGCGCAACCCUUAUUAUCAGUUGCCAGCAUUCAGUUGGGCACUCUGGUGAGACUGCCGGUGACAAACCGGAGGAAGGUGGGGACGACGUCAAAUCAUCAUGCCCCUUAUGACCUGGGCUACACACGUGCUACAAUGGUCGGUACAACG
rnacentral:rRNA from 1 species